GAUGAACGCUGGCGGCGUGCUUAACACAUGCAGGUCGAACGGAGUUAACAUGUGAGCGGAGAGUGCUUGCACUUAACAAUCUUUUGUUAACUUAGUGGCGGACGGGUGAGUAACGCGUGGGUAACCUGCCUCAUACAGGGGGAUAACACUUAGAAAUAGGUGCUAAUACCGCAUAAGCGCACAGUGUCGCAUGACACAGUGUGAAAAACUCUGGUGGUAUGAGAUGGACCCGCGUCUGAUUAGCUAGUUGGUGAGGUAACGGCUCACAAAGGCGACGACCAGUAGCCGGCCUGAGAGGGUGAACGGCCACAUUGGGACUGAGACACGGCCCAA
rnacentral:rRNA from 1 species